AACCCCGCGGCCCCGCCAUGCGGCGGUGCUCUACUCCGUCUCGUCCCCCAUCCUAUCCAACCAAAUCCGGGACAAACUCUGCUCCACCACCUCCCACUCCCCACUUCGCCUCGCUCUCUGCUCCGCUGUCCACGCGCGCGCGCGCACUCCUAUCCUUGUCGCUCUCCAUGUUGGCCCCUUCCACCGCCACCGCCACCGCCACCGCCACCUGCCUCCUCCUGCCGCGGUCGGCCGCCGCCAGCCGGGGCCUACCCUUGCACUCCCUCCUCCUCUCACGCCGUCGCCCCCGCCACCGCUGCGCCGUCGACGCCAGCAGCGCCGCCGCUUCCGGCGGCGGCGGCGCUGCCAAGGAGCCGCCCAGGACGCUGUUCCCUGGCGGGUUCAAGCGGCCGGAGAUCCAGGUACCGGCGCUCGUCCUCCGUGUUGGCGUCGACGAGGCUCUCGGCUCUGGUGACGCGGUGUCCGCCGCCCUGGCGCGGGGCGUGGGGAUCGUCGUGCUCGAGGCCGGGGAGGAGGGCGGCGGGCGCGCGUACGAGGCCGCGCGCGCGCUCAAGGCGGCGGUAGGGGACCGCGCUUACCUGCUCAUCGCGGAGCGAGUCGACGUCGCCUCCGCGGUCGGGGCGAGCGGCGUCGUGCUAGCCGACGAUGGUAUUCCUGCUAUUGUUGCAAGGAGUAUGAUGAUGAAAUCCAACUCUGACUCCAUAUAUCUCCCGCUUGUCGCUAGAACUAUACGGUCCUCGGACUCUGCCAGAAGCGCUACUAGUUCUGAGGGGGCUGAUUUCCUUAUCGUAAAUACCGGGACGGGUGACUUCUCGAGUGUUUUGAAUGGUGCUGGUGCUCAGCAUGUGAAGAUUCCAGUUUUCUUCACUUUAAAUGAUUUGCAAAGCGAAGGGUCUUAUUCUGAUACCACAUCCAAGCUGUUCCAGUCUGGUGCAUCUGGAAUUGUUUUGUCUUUGACUGGCAUCCAACAUCUUACUGACAAUAUCAUAGAAAGGGAUUUUUUAAAAGUGGAUAGCACCGGUACAGUACCACAAGCCACUUCCUCUUCUGCUAGCGCGUUGGAAGAAACAAAUAAUGUAAUGGUCCUAACUCGUGAGAAGACAAAAGUUGCUGGAUUUACAAAACUGGAUGAAAAAGUGAUGCAGCUAAUAGCGAUGGAAAAGCCUAUUCUUAGUGAAGCUGUUGAUGUUAUCCGCAAGGCAGCACCAAUGGUGAUCAUCUAAUGUUACACAUUUGAUGGAAGAGGCUGAACUUCUGGUUGAUGCUGCUUCUCGCCUGAGUGAGCCAUUUUUGUUGGUUAUUGUGGGUGAAUUUAACUCGGGAAAAUCAACCUUUAUAAAUGCUCUACUUGGAAGGAAGUAUCUUCAGGAAGGAGUUGUACCCACGACAAAUGAGAUCACACUGCUCUCAUAUUCAGAGGUUGAUUCUGAAAGCAUGGAACGAUGUGAGCGGCACCCGGAUGGUCAAUUCACAUGCUAUUUAUCGGCUCCAAUUUUAAAAGAGAUGAACCUAGUUGAUACACCUGGAACAAAUGUCAUUCUCCAGAGGCAGCAGCGACUCACUGAAGAAUAUGUGCCACGAGCUGACUUGAUACUCUUUGUACUGUCAUCAGAUAGACCAUUGACUGAGAGUGAGGUCGGAUUUCUCCAGUAUGUCCAGCAGUGGAAGAAGAAAGUAGUAUUUGUUCUAAACAAAUUGGACCUCUAUCGGAACAGUGAUGAGCUUGAAGAGGCCACUGCCUUUAUCAAGGAAAACGCAAGGAAAUUACUCAACACUGAGGAUGUAACACUGUUUCCUGUAUCUUCACGCUCUGCUCUGGAAGUCAAACUUUCAUAUUCAAAGAAAAAUGAUAGGGAGCACCAUGGGGAAGUUUUGUUAAGUGAUCCUAGAUGGAGAAGCAGCAAGUUUUAUGAUCUUGAGCAUUACCUACUGAGCUUUUUAGAUGGUUCAACAGAUAAUGGAAAGGAAAGGGUCCGACUGAAACUUGAAACACCAAUUGGUAUUGCAGAUCGUUUGCUAACUUCAUGUCAAAGACUUGUGAAACUAGAACAUGAAAAGGCUAUUGAUGACUUGACAUCCAUCAGGGAUCUUGUUUCUGGUGCAAACAACUAUGCUUUGAAAAUUGAGGCUGAUAGCAAUUCCUGGCAGAAGCAGAUUUCGUCUCUUAUUGAGAGAGCAAAAAGUCGAGCUAUAACGCUCAUGGAAUCUACACUUCAGUUGUCAAACAUUGACCUUAUUUUUACAUACAUGCUCACAGGAGAAAAAGGGCCUUCCGCCAAAGCCACAUCGUUUGUUCAAAAUGAUAUUCUGAGUCCUGCCCUUGACGAUGCAGCUGAUUUAUUGGGUGAAUAUUCAAAAUGGUUGAGUUCUAGCAAUACCCGUGAAGCAAAUUUAUAUCUGGAGUGUUUCCAUGAAAGAUGGAAUUCAUUGGUUAGUCAGGAAGAAAGUGUCUCAUCAGAUCGAACUGAGCUUGUUAAUGAAGGAGAGAAACUCAGCAUAAAAGUGCUGGAUGGCUUCAGUGCUACUGCUGCUGCUAAGGUUUUUGAAGAAGAAAUUCGUGAAGUGGCUACGGGAACUUUUGGAGGGCUUGGGGUUGCGGGAUUGUCAGCCUCUCUUUUGACUUCUGUUCUAACAACUACACUCGAAGAUCUACUUGCUCUUGCUCUUUGCUCAGCUGGCGGGUUUUUUGCAAUAUCGAAUUUCCCUGGUCGACGGAAGCUUGCGGUAGAGAAGGUCAGCAAGGCUGCCGAUGAACUAUCUCGUAAAGUUGAUGAAGCUAUUCAGAAGGAUAUAUCUCAGAGUGGUAGUAAGCUAGUCCAGUUCGUAGACACUGCCAGCAAACCGUACCAGGAAGCAUGCCAGCGAAAAAUUGACUGGCUGCAGGGUGUUCAGGGUGAGUUGUCCGCCGUUGAGCGUAAGCUCCAAACUCUGAAAAUCGACAUCCAAAAUCUGCACGGAUCGUGACGGUACUUGCCUUUGUUGACGUUUUCUUCAUUCGUUUGCACGUCCACACCGCUCAUCAAAUUUUGUUUGGUCCUGUACCGUGAUGAUGCCGGUGUAGAGCAGUUCCUGUAUGAUGAUAGGUAUGUCUGUAAUAUAUAUGUAUGUUGUACGUUCCAACCAAAUGCCAUGAAUCAUGUCUCGAGGUAGUUGCCCCUAGGGCCAGCACAGAAAGCUUUGCAAACUGUAAGGGACCUACAUCAGUACUCCGACUGUCCUAUAUGGUAGUGUUGGAAAUCAAUGUGUUAAUAUUGAUUGCUGGUUCAUACACUUAACUCUGAAUUCUUCCUGACCUCAGGCCUCAAAAUUAUCGGAUAAGUUGCUUCUCAAUACUUUGAACUUGUUUCUUCUUCUUAGAGAUAGUAUUCCAAGAUGGCAAAUAUUCGGAGAUGACUAUGAAAACACCUCUCUGGAUCCUCGAAUUGAAAGAGAGAUUGAGAGGGAUCAAGAAUCCUAAUUCUCGCUAUUUGGAAUGGAUCCAAUUCUAUUGAGUCUGACUCAUAGUUAUCAUUUCUCUUUAGCAAAGAAUGACCUUGGUUAUCAAAGGAUUGAACAACCGGGAUCCAUUUACUUAUGAUAGCUUCUGGCCGGCUAGUGGAAGCAUUUUGAUUGGUGACAAUCUGAAAAUGAAAAUUGUCAAAGUGGUUGUAGAGAGCAACCUACAAAACUUGUGGAGGCGACAUUUGCUACUUAUGUAUAGGGGGGGAUCUAGAUGUUCUUUUGCUG
rnacentral:rRNA from 1 species